GUCCACGCCUUAAACGAUGGAUACUAAGUGUCGGCGGGUUACCGCCGGUGCCGCAGCUAACGCAGUAAGUAUCCCGCCUGGGAAGUACGGCCGCAAGGUUGAAACUCAAAGGAAUUGACGGGGCCCGCACAAGCGGUGGAGCAUGUGGUUCAAUUCGACGCAACGCGAAGAACCUUACCCAGGCUGGACAUGCAGGUAGUAGAAGGGUGAAAGCCCAACGAGGUAGCAAAUACCAUCCUGCUCAGGUGCUGCAUGGCUGUCGU
rnacentral:rRNA from 1 species